CAGUUGUCGUGCCAACGGCAGUGCUGGGUAGCUAUGUUCGGACAGGAUAACCGCUGAAGGCAUCUAAGCGGGAAGCCCCCUUCAAAACAAGGUCUCCCUUGAGGGCCGUGGAAGACCACCACGUCGAUAGGCCGGAGAUGUAAGUGCAGCAAUGCAUUCAGUUGACCGGUACUAAUUGCCCGAUAGGCUUGAUUUGAUCCAG
rnacentral:rRNA from 1 species